AGAAUUCUGACACGGAGGCAUGUGCCUAUGAGAUCUUCUUUUCAGGCAUCCAUCCUUCCUGGCCCACCUUCAGUACUGAGGAAUUACAGCAGAAAACAUGAAGAAUUGGUGCUUGCUGACUUGCCUGAAAGAAGCAAAGGACCUCAAAUCUCAGCAUGUACACCAGUAGGAUCAGGCUGAACAGUUUCAAGCUUUGUGUUUCAGUCCUCAGAGCCACCAUACAAGGUACAGUCUGUUUUUUGAACAAAUGGCACAAUUGAGUCAUGGUGAAGUCAACCUUGUGGAUAAGAAGAAGGAUUAACUCUGGCCCUUGGUAGAGCACUGAUCUCGUAUGAUCAAGGCCCUGGAUCGAACUAUGGGAAAUGAAAAAGAAAUUUCAAACAUAAAGACACACACAAACAAUUUAGAACUACCAAUGCAGCUACUUUCAACUUCACUGUACCUUCCUGAAUUGUUUCAAAUGUAAUAUUGAAACUGAAUAUUUGUGGUGUCUUGAGUUCAAACAUUCAUUCAUUGAUUUACGUUUCUGAGGAAUGAUGGGUACUCAUCUAGUCUCAGUCCAUUUAAGAUUCACAAACAUUGUCCCAGACAAUGAGACCCAUCUUUCUUCAGCAUAGAGAAGAUGAAUCACUAGAUUAUGCACGUAGCAGUAAAGGGGCUUGAUACAGCCAAACUUUGGCUCAGACCCUCUGGCCAGGCCCAUUUGGAUAAUGUGCCUGCUUUUGCACAGUUGUCAGUCUUAUCAGUAAGUGUCCUGUGAGCAAAAAAAAACAAGAAGACUCCUCCAGUAAGAGUAAAAGAUGCUUGUGACUGUCUGCAGUUAAGGUAGUAGAGUUCUCAUAACUUGGGCCUUCAUUUCUCCAGGCCCAGCUGUCCCCUGGCUUUGGCAGUGGCAUAUUGAUGGGACUGUCUGUUCUAGAAAACACAUGCUGGGAUGUUAGAAAGGAUGAGCUCUCAGCUUCCAUAGUGAUAUCUCUUUUGGAGCCCUUACUUGAGGGCCUAGUACCAAAUCAGGCCAUAUUCACAGAUGGUUCUUUCUUUCCCACCACUGAUAAUCAGGCCUUUCUUUAUUUUAUUCAUAUUACUGUUGUUGAUAGAGUCUCAUGUUUCCCAGGCAGGCACAGAGUCAUGAUCCUUCUGCCCUAUGUCCAUGGUGUUGAAAUAAGAGGCUUGUCACCACACCAGUAAUCCAGCUGUCUCUUCUUUAUUGGAUGGUCUCUUCAUUGAUGCCCUUUCCUGCCUGUUGACACUUUAUGGACAUUCCAUGAUGGUUAGCUGAAUGAACAAAUUAAGGGCAGAGGAAAAUAGACUUGUUCACAGCUAACAGUAAUGUAAGGAGCAUGGAAUAAGUGCCAAGUGAUAGUGAGGUAUGCCACAGCUAACAGGGAAGGAAGAAGGGAAAGUCAUUGUGUCCCUGCAGCUGGCACAACAGUGUCAAUGCUCCUCCCUGCAGGUCUCUGUCAUUCAGAAAACAUCAAAGUGGGGUGAGUAUACUGUCAUGGAUAGAUACAAGUUAUACUCAUGUGUUUGGAAGUAAAACCUUCCAGAACCUACAAAGCCUUUGUGGUCUCCUCUCUAGCAAUAUGCUGGCAGCUUCCCUUCACUCAUUUUCUAUCUUGAACCUGAAGGGAAGCUUGAUUUCCCCAUCAUUUAGCCAGGAAUAUCUACGUCACUAAACAAUAUAUCGUUUAGAGUUACAUGGUUGUGAAAUUUGUUCUCAAAAUAGUUAUUGCAUUUAUUGAUUUUUGCAUGUAUAUAUGUGCAUGGGCAAGAUUGUGCUAUAGCAUGUGUGUGGGGCCAAGGACAACAUGCACUAGCAGGUUCUGUCAUGCUACCACAUCCAUCCCUGGGAUCAAACUCUAGCUGUCAAUCCUGGCACACUCUGGACUCACUGAGUUACAUUAUCAACUCCCAGUUUGAAAUUCUAUGCAUUUACUUCACUUUUGUGUUUAGAUUUCAUGUGUAUAUAACAUGCUUGUUUGUUAUAGAGUUUUACCUGUGUGGCUGCUCUGGUAACUGACUGCAUCCUCCAUUCUAUUGUAUAAGGAAAGCACAAUUUAUUUCGUAGUUCUCUAGUUG
rnacentral:lncRNA from 1 species